GCAGAACGCGAAGAACCUUACCUGGGCUAGAAAGCGUAAGAACCUCGGUGAAAACUGAGGGUGCCUUUCGGGGAACUUACGAUUAGGUGCUGCAUGGCUGUCGUCAGCUCAUGUCGUGAGAUGUUGGGUUAAGUCCCGCAACGAGCGCAACCCUUGUUGUUAGUUGCCAGCAUUAAGUUGGGCACUCUAACAAGACUGCCGACCUUUAAGUCGGAGGAAGGUGGGGAUGACGUCAAGUCCUCAUGGCCCUUACGUCCAGGGCUACACACGUACUACAAUGGGCGGUACAGAGGGAUGCAAAUCCGCAAGGUAGAGCUAAUCCCUAAAACCGUUCUCAGUUCAGAUUGGAGGCUGCAACUCGCCUCCAUGAAGGCGGAAUCGCUAGUAAUCGCGGAUCAGCUACGCCGCGGUGAAUACGUUCUCGGGUCUUGUACACACCG
rnacentral:rRNA from 1 species